UUCCGGUCCGGGACUGAUGCUGGGAGGUGGGCUUGUUCUUUGCUCUGACAGUUGUUUCCCUAAUAGUGUAUCCUAGGCCUGAACUCCUCUGAGCAGGAUCGUAAUUGGAGACAGAAAUUACAAGCUUAAAAUAUUAAUUUUCUUGAGGGCAACUACAACAUUAUUUCCAUCCCUAAAUUCUGCACAGAUCUGAGCCCAGCCUGACAAACAACAUCUGCUAAUUGGUAUAACACCAUGUGGUUGUCAAAAGGGUGAAAGGAAUUGAUGAAGGAUGCCAGUUGAUUCAGGCCAAGGAAAUGUGACCAUCACUGUCUAAGGCCAUUGUGUUCUUCUGGUGAGUUUGGUGAGUUCUCCUGGACUUCGAGUCCCUAUUAAGGCAUCUCUCGCUGAUACUACCUGAGAAUAGGGAAGUUCAGUCAGGACCCUUGAAAAGUUCCUUAACCAGACUCUUGGGCAGGUGAGGUAGGUUAAACCAUCUUGUCCCUUCUAACUGUUAUGAAGCAUAUAUGAGUGUUCAGUAUGAGGCUGGAUGAAUUGAAUGUCAGUUUCCUAGGCCUAUAAAUUGUCCAGAAUGGGGUCCUAACCAGAGCUCCAGGUGUCCAUGAAUAGAAACCAGUACCAUGAACUUGGAAGGGGAAAAUCAAAAAAAAUCACAUCUUUAUUCUCACUAAACUCUAACUGAAAUUUAGUAUUUCCUAUCAUUAUGAAUGUAGAGUGAAAUUGUAGUGCUACCUUUAGUACCCUUGACUUUGUCACUAAUAGAAAUUAUAAUUCAUACCGCAUUUCAGUUGUGGCAGAUAUCCUGAAAUAUCCUUUACUCUGAUCUCUACUUUGACAUUAUUUGACCUAAUGCUAGAUUUUGUUAUUUAAUGCACUAAUAAAGCAGCACAAAUAGCACUGUAUUACAAGGUUGCAUUAUUAUUAUCAGUGUAAUGAGUUUUAUUUGUAAUCCUAUUUGUUUUGGUUUGUGCAUUUAGAAUCCUUUCCUAAGAAGAGGGCAGGGGAUGGAGCUCAGCAAGAUGUAGCCUCAGCUGGAGUCUACCUCAGCUUGUUCUGGGGAGCCCUGGAGCAGGAAUGAUGUCUCAGGGUUGUCCCAAUUUGAGGCAAGGCUUAGUAACUCUGCUUCAGCCCUGCAUGGGCUAAUCUUCCAGGCAUCUCUGGCUCUUGGAGGCUCCAUUGACCAUGGACAACCCUCCCAGAGAAGGGGGUAGCUAUGAGCAGUUAAUGACUUAACACCAGAAGCAGUUGGACUGGAUGCACCAGCUGGCAAAAAAGAACUGGAGAAGGCAGCUACUAUUCUGUGAAGGUGAGAAUGGCCAUGGUGCACUGGGACCCAGUGAGGAGAGCAGGCAUGUUUGAGGAGAUGAGGUACAGUAAGGAGUAGUGAGUAAGAUUGGUUCAAGUUCUAGAGCUGAGAGAAAUGGAGAGGGAUUAAUGAGCAAUACUAAGGACACCGUUGGAAUGGUGACCAUGAAUUUACCAUGAUAUGAUUAUGUGUGAUUUCAUGGAGAAAGCCAACACUUGGGUUCAUCUAAAGAUGUAUUUUGCCAGAGAGAGGUACAAGAGAGUUGAGGGUGUUGGCAAAAUGGGAUCGGGAGGGAAGUGAAGACAGUGAUCUAAUGGAUAGAAAGGUGAGAAAAGGAUCAAAGAUCCCAAAAUAGUCAGAAUAGUGCUCGUGGGAGUCACUGAGCAAGUAAGAUGGAAGGAAAGGAGGGUGUCUUCACCAGCCGUUUUGGAAAUGGAGCAGAUGCCAGUGAUAGAGGAGUCCCAGAUGGGACUAUGAGAGUGGAUCCCAAAGAGAGCUCAAGGAGACCUCUGCAGAGAGGACUCAGACCUACAUUGGGUCAUCUGUGUCCCCGUGGGAGUCACCUAGGAUAGUGUCAUGGCAGAGGCAGGAGAAAGGCUAGGAUCCAGGAGCUGGGGCCUGCUCUUGAUGAACAGGAGAGACCAAGAGGUCAGAGAUGGCAGAGAAUGAGAAAGGUGAUUUCAGUGGGAAGAGCCCCCAAAAAGUAGAACUUCUUUUUUCUUGUUAAUUUUAGACUAUUACCUUUUUUUUUUUUUUUAAGAAGAUGUUGGGGAUAGGAGUUUAUUUAUUUAUUUUUGCUGUGUUGGGUCUUCGUUUCUGUGCGAGGGCUUUCUCUAGUUGUGGCAAGCGGGGGCCGCUCUUCAUCGCGGUGCGCAGGCCUUUCACUAUCGCGGCCUCUCUUGUUGCAGAGCACAGGCUCCAGACGCACAGGCUCAGUAGUUGUGGCUCACGGGCCUAGUUGCUCCGUGGCAUGUGGGAUCCUCCCAGACCAGGGCUCGAACCCGUGUCCCCUGCAUUAGCAGGCAGAUUCUCAACCACUGAGCCACCAGGGAAGCCCCUCUUGUUAAUUUUAAUAUAAAAUUUUGCUUGAGUAUUUUUAAUUGGACAGUAGAUAAAUGAUUACAUUCCUUUUUUUAAAAUUUAUAAAUUAUAAAUAAGGCCAAAGUUUCUUACCACCCCAGCCACAGCCCCAAUCCUUUUGCCCUGUCCCUAUAGGCAGCUAGCUGUCUCCCCCGAAACGUUUUCCAUAUGCAAGCACACCCCCUUACACGCACGGAGUAAUAUAUAGUAUUGUUUUUAGUGUAUGGGUGUGUGCUUCAGAAUAAAUGGUUUCAUACUCUAUAUACUUACUGUCUUAUAAUUUACGUUUUUCCCUCAGCACCAUGUCUUAGAGAUCUAAGAUACCAUGUUUUAGAAAAUGAGCAGACUUAUUGUUUUACUUUGCUACAUAGUAUUAUAUAAUGUGAAUUUACUAAAUUGAUUGAGGUUUUCUCACAUCAAUGGAUUCUUAGGUGAUUUCUAGUCUGGGCUAUUACCAGCGAUGUUGCUGUGUACAUUCGUGUACAAUUUUUUUUGUACACAUGAUAAAUGUUACAAAAGUGCAUCCAAAACACCUGUACAUGUUUCUGUUAUGAAUGUGAUCUGCUGCAAUAAACAGAAAACCCAUUAAACAAAUAAGGGUUGUUGGGUUUUUUCACUUCUUUUCUGAAGGUAAGGAGUUACUGGGAUUGGUUUAGUUGUGUGGUGAUGCACCCUGAGAUCCAGGCUCUCGAAAUUUUCACUCUGCCAGCCUUAGUGUAUUGUCUAGUAUCCUCAUCCUUGGUGCCUCAUACUCACCAUAUAUGGUUGCUGUGGCUCUGGACAACACUUCUGGAUUCAAAGCUAGAAAGGGGGGCUUCCCUGGUGGUGCAGUGGUUGAGAGUCCACCUGCCGAUGCAAGGGACAUGGGUUCGUGCCCCGGUCCGGGAAGAUCCCACAUGCCGCGGAGCGGCUGGGCCCGUGAGCCAUGGCCA